GGUCCUGACUAGCUCAACUGGUAGAGCAUGGCAUUAACGUUGCCAGGGUUAGGAGUUCGAUUCCCUCAAGGACCA
rnacentral:tRNA from 1 species